UUUAAAUUGAGAGUUUGAUCCUGGCUCAGGAUGAACGCUGGCGGCGUGCCUAAUACAUGCAAGUCGA
rnacentral:rRNA from 1 species